ensembl:lncRNA
UAUGAAAAUUAGGUGGAAGAGAAAAGGCCUUCAAAUGUAUUGAAGAAGAAACUGACUUUUUAAAAAAAUGUUAAGAAGUGUGAUUUCCUCCAGCUUCUUUCCUCUUUCUUAGCUGCCUGAAAAUUCCCUAAGAGCCUUGAGUGAAAUGUCCCUGAAUUUCAACCAACUCAAGGCUGAGAGAAGAAGCUGUGCUUUUAAAUCUAAGGAAAAUAUCAUUUGAGAACACAGAGCUACACAAUGAAAAAACUGAUGAAGACAUGGGGAGCAAUGAAGCAGCCGCAUAUGGGUCAAGGGCCAUCAAAAGGGACUUCAGAGCCUUGGGAUGACAGCUGAAGUAAUUGAAUGCACAGGUCAUCUUUUCUUCUCUGCCUCCUAUAUUGGGUCACACAGUCCUCAAAUGAUUGAUUUGGAAGGAGGGAACUGGGGAAACAACGUCCCUCCCACUAUAACCAAAGGUCAGGUUGAUGACCACGUGAAGAACCUGAACAUCCAGAAGUCUGUGAGUCCCAAUGAGAUGUAUCCCAGAGUCUUGAGGGAAUUGGCUGAUGUACUCACCAAGCCACUCUCAAUGAUAUUUGAAAAGUCAUGACAGUGAGGUGAAGUCCCUGGUGACUGGAAAAAAGGCAACAUCACAUUCGUUUUUGAGAAGGGUGAAAAAUAUGAUCCUGGGAACUACCAACCUGUCAAUCUCACCUGUGUGCCAGAAAAAAAUCAUGAAGCAGAUCCUCUUGGAAGCUAUUCUAAGGCACAUGGAAGACAGAGAUGAUACGACAGAACCAG